GAGAGAGAAUGAAGGAACUGCUAAUUCUGCACCCCAUACAUAACAGUAUGGCUCCCUCA
rnacentral:tRNA from 1 species